ensembl:lncRNA
UCCCGCAGCUGGGCGUGGAGCGAGCCCGGGCAGCGGCGGCGCCGGGAGCCGCUUCCAGCUUCCCUCCAUCCAUCCCGGGCUGCGGCCGGGACGGCGCCGGGCUCCGGGCUCUGGCCAUGGCCGAAGCGCAGGAGCCGCCCCCGGCUCUCUCGGAUACCCAGGUCCUGGUGCUGACGGGCGUCACCCUCCCGGCCGCGCUGCUCAGCCUCCUGGGCAGCGGAUCCGUCCUCGCUGUCAUCUCCUGGCAGGGGCGCUGCUGCCACAUCCAGCUGCGCCCCCUGUUCCUCCUGGCCCUGGCAGAUUUCCUGGGUGCCACGGCGCUGCUGGGCACGGGAACCAUCCCGCUGCUGCCGGCCUCCCUCUCCGUGCCCGCCUAUGCCGCCUGUCCCUACGGGCGGAUGCUGACCACGACCUCCUACGCCGCCUCGUUCCUCAUGGUCGCUGUUUACGCGUACGAGUCGCACCGCACCGUCCUCGGGGGGCGAGCCCGGCCCCCGGCAGCGCUGCAGGUCCGUGCCUGGCCCGGGCACAGCCGGGAAUCGCUCUGGCCACACACGGCCCUGUCAGGACAAGGGA